GAGCAAACACCCUUUGGCUUGUUCUCACAGGUUUCUAUGUGUCCCAAUUGUGGUGGAGAAGGUGAGGUCAUUUCUGAAUACUGUCGAAAAUGCUCUGGUGAAGGGCGUAUUCGUGUUAGGAAAAAUAUCAAAGUCAAAAUCCCUCCUGGAGUUAGCACAGGCAGUAUUCUUAGAGUUGCAGGAGAAGGUGAUGCUGGACCAAGAGGCGGUCCUCCAGGAGAUCUUUUUGUGUAUCUGGAUGUUGAGGAGAUAACUGGAAUCCAAAGAGAUGGCAUAAAUCUCAACUCAACAAUAUCUAUCACUUAUCUUGAUGCAAUUCUGGGGGUGGUAGUUAAGGUAAAGACAGUUGAAGGAGUAAGUGAACUUCAGAUUCCAGCAGGUACUCAGCCUGGAGAUGUUCUAGUCCUGGCAAAGAAAGGUGCACCUAAACUGAAUAAACCAUCUAUACGCGGUGAUCACUUGUUUACAAUUAAGGUUAUUAUACCAAAUCGUGUAAGUUUCAAAGAGCGUGAGUUACUCGAAGAACUUGCUUCUCUGAGUAAUACUACCAGCACUCGACCACGAACUCGCUUAAGAACUCAACCUGCAAGUAGAAGUGCAGAAAGUCAGGUGGAAACUGUUGCUGAGAAAGGUGAGGAGUCAGGAGGCCAAAAUGAUGUAUGGCAGAAGUUAAAAGAUUUUGCUGGGUCUGUUGCAAAUGGAGCUCUGAAAUGGCUGAAAGACAACCUCUGAGUUUGAAAUCUUCACUAGGUGACCAUGUGGCAUCCAAACUCUGCGAUAAUUUGAAACUAGCCACUGGAUUUUGUACUCCCCUCAAGACAUGGUCCCAAGGGCCAAGCCAUUGUUUACAUGGAUUCCUUUGAUUGAUAUUCUCAGCAUUGUGAUGAAAAUUCAAUAGCACUAUAGUGGAGAUUCUUUGAAAUUUUGUUUUCCCCUCUUGUAAAUCUAUGUCUAUGGCAAGCUACUACAGAUUAAUCUCUUUGAGCAGUUUAGAGCAGCAACAGCGAGUAAAUGUAAGCAAUAUUUUAGCAAUGUAUAAAGCUGAUGCUAUAAUGAAAUCUCA
rnacentral:misc_RNA from 1 species